AGGAGGAAUAUUGCGCAAUGGGCGAAAGCCUGACGCAGCAACGCCGCGUGGGCGAUGAAGGCCUUCGGGUCGUAAAGCCCUUUUCUGGGGGAAGAGGAAGGACGGUACCCCAGGAAUAAGCCUCGGCGAACUACGUGCCAGCAGCCGCGGUAAAACGUAGGAGGCGAGCGUUAUCCGGAUUUACUGGGCGUAAAGGGCAUCUAGGCGGUGCCUUAAGUUGGGCAUGAAAUCCUCCGGCUUAACUGGAGGGGGCUGUCCAAUACUGGGGUACUUGAGGGCAGGAGAGGAAAGCGGAAUUCCCGGUGUAGCGGUAAAAUGCGUAGAUAUCGGGAGGAACACCAGUGGCGAAGGCGGCUUUCUGGCCUGACCCUGACGCUGAAGUGCGAAAGCGUGGGUAGCGAACGGGAUUAGAAACCCCAGUAGUCC
rnacentral:rRNA from 1 species